GCAGUUCCCCUGCCAGGAAGGCCUCACCAUGGAUAUACGCAGGAACAUGACCGCUGACCGCACGCGGCACGACCCUGGCCGUUUCUUCUCUUCUCUCGACUCCUGUUUUUCCUAAUCCAAAAAUCGUCGAACCCUAGCGAAGGAGCGGCGGCGGACUCUGGCAGGGUCUUGGGCUGCUGUCGUGUUCCUCUUCGCAGAGGAGAUCUACCGUGCUCGCCCAUCUUCAUCCUCCCUGCUCUGCUCGCCCGCUACCAUGGCCCGCUGCUGCCCCACCACGGCGCCGCGCGGCCACGCGCUACUAGCUCCUUCGGCAAGCUUCGUUUUUCUUUCGGUGCAGCAGGAAUGUGGUAAGAUGUGAGGAUGUGAUCGAUGGUUUAUUGUUUCUGUUUUUGAGUUGGUUGCCGAUGGAAGGAAAUCGUGGUAAGAGAGAUUUUUAAUUUGGGGACUAAUUAGAAGAGUUAAUCGUCGUAUACUCCUGCACUAUAGCCAUGGUUGGAUUAAUUUAGCUUUUCUGCUCUUGGUUGGUGCUCUUCAUUUCUACUGUGGAUAUAUGUGCGAUAUUAAUUUCCACUGAAUUGAACUAAGUAGGUGCAACUGAUUAAAGUGAGUGGAUCAACCACACUUUUUAAGGCAUUUCUGAAUUACAAUUCAUAAAUAUCAUUUUUGUGCAAUAUAAAUUCGAGCAUUGCACAUUCAGAUUGUUUUCUUCAGUCAAAAGGUCUUGAUUUGGGAUGACUGACAAUGAGGACAUUGAAGAUAAGAUGAUCGUGCCUGCCGAUUAAUUUCUUUGGAUUAGAAUAAACUUCUUAUUUGAUACUUCAAUAUCGCAGGGAAUUCUGUAGCUGCUGGUCACGGAUUGUGCCAUCAAAACAUGGGACAUAGAUAUGUUUGUUGAUUCUAACCAGUUUAAAGAGAGACGAAAAGGAAUUCGAUGCUACUGCUAUGUGGAUCUUCUAUUCGGCUGGUGGAUGUUAGUGGCGAGAAGGUUUUUGCAUCUGGCACGCCACCUAUAAUAAGCAGACUGGCAACAGGGGCAGUGGUGAGGAACAAAUGUUCAGGGAAAGAGAAAGACAAUAGAGUUACAUUGUUUGUUACUCGUAUCCAUUAGAAAUAUCAGGUUGUAGGCAGUCCGAUUGCUCAGUAGAUAGCCCCUUGAUUUAUUGACAAUGAUUUGUACUAAAAUUGAUGGAAAGUGUGUGUGUGUGUGUGUGUGUGUGUCCAUUGCUACACAUUGAAAUAAAAUGUCCUGUAUGAUGAAGAUUAAUUCUCAAAUGAAUUUGUUUUGCUUGUAGAAA